CUGCCCUGCCCGCGGUGGGGGCGUUGCGGGGCGGCGGGCGAUCUCGACGUGGCAGCCGGAGGGAGGGAGCCGUGACCUUCCUGCCCAGCGAGCGGCGGGGCUGCUUCCCCCCGUCGUGAGCCGCCUUUAAUUCGCUUCGUCUGCGCCACCUCUCGGGUGUCGCGGAUAACCUUCCUGGGCCUGUCAGGCCAGAGAAGGCCCCAGGGGCCUACAGCUCCCGAGGUUGAGUCACCAGCCCCGGGGGAGCACCCCUGGCUCAGAGCUCAGCAUAUCCCAUGUGCUGUGUGCACAUCAGCACGUAAGGACAGGUCCCAGUGGCGAAUGGAGAGCGCCAAAGCAGCCACGGCGCAACCUCAGCGCCAUGGAGAUCGGCUGCCCAGAGAGGUUGUGGAGUCUCCUUCUCUGGAGACACUCAAGACCCACCUGGGCACCUACCUGUGCAACGUGGUCUAGGGAGCCUGCUUUGCAGGAGGGUUGGACUAGAUGAUCUCUACAGGUCCCGUCCAGCCCUUCAGUUGUGUGUUUCUGUGAUUCUAUGGGACGGGCAGGUGGAUGCUGCUUCAUAUCAGGCUUGCACUGCAGCCUUCCAAUAGGCCUUCUCUAGUGCAGAAAACGUUUUCAAAGAUGUCACCAAAAAAUUGAUGUUGUUUUGAAAAAUUCCAGCAAGGUAAUAUGACAACACAGAAGAUUUCAAAGAGCCAUAUUUCCUAAGAGCUCAACGCCCAUAACUGGCUUAAUAGAUGGAAUUAAAUGUUGAGCUUUAUAAAUCUGGUCUCACAGUGUCCAAGGUUCCUGCAGGGGCUCUGGAGCACCUCCCCUAUGAGGAGAGGCUGGGAGAGCUGGGGGCUCUUCAGCCUGGAGAAGGCUCCAAGAAGACCUUAUAGUGGCCU
rnacentral:lncRNA from 1 species